UAGGGAAUCUUCGGCAAUGGGGGGAACCCUGACCGAGCAACGCCGCGUGAGUGAAGAAGGUUUUCGGAUCGUAAAGCUCUGUUGUUAAGGAAGAACGAGUGUGAGAAUGGAAAGUUCAUACUGUGACGGUACUUAAUCAGAAAGGGACGGCUAACUACGUGCCAGCAGCCGCGGUAAUACGUAGGUCCCGAGCGUUGUCCGGAUUUAUUGGGCGUAAAGCGAGCGCAGGCGGUUAGAUAAGUCUGAAGUUAAAGGCAGUGGCUCAACCAUUGUAGGCUUUGGAAACUGUUUAACUUGAGUGCAGGAGGGGAGAGUGGAAUUCCAUGUGUAGCGGUGAAAUGCGUAGAUAUAUGGGGGAACACCGGUGGCGAAAGCGGCUCUCUGGUCUGUAACUGACGCAGAGGCUCGAAAGCGUGGGGAGCGAACAGG
rnacentral:rRNA from 1 species